CCUUAUCCUCAGGAAGCCCUGAACGCUGAGAGGCACUGUUACAGAACCGAACUGGGGUCCAAGCGCUAGGCCUACCUAGGUGCCUGGAAUUUCCCUUCGAGGAACGCAGGAGUUUUCUUUAUUUUCAUGCUUGGGAAGGCUCAUUAGGCCCCUAAGAGGGGGUCCCUUCCCCAUCUCAGGACUAAAAUGCAAUGAAGAUGUUGCUCAGAGGCAGCUGGAGAGGGAUGGGUCUGUGGAGGAUGCCCCGCAGAGUGAAGCCGAGAUGAUGCAGCCACCAGGGCCGGAGGGGAGGGACAUUUCACUUUUUAAAUCAGCUUUCUAAAGUAUGAUCUCCAUAUAAUCACCUAGAAGCGUACAGCACAAUGGUCUUGACAGAUGCCAGCAUCCUUGGAACCACUGCCACCACCAACGUCUCAAACCAUUCCAUCAAACCCAGAACACUCCUGGUGCCCUGAAGCGUCUCCCUUCAAUGGCAGAACCAGCAGAGAUUCAGUGGUCACAAGGCUGGUCUCGAACUCCUGGGUGCAAGCAAUCCUUCCACCUCGGCCUCCCAAAGUGCUGGGAUUACAGGCAUAAGCCACCGCGCCCAGCCAGGAAUGGAUUUUCUCACAGUUCUCGAUGGCGGAAGUCUGAGAUCAAGGUCUUGGCAGGGCUAGGUCUCUCUGAGGCCUUUCUCCCCAGCUUACAGGUCGCCGCCUCCUCUCUCUGUCUUUCCUUGUCUUCCUUGUGUCCACAGUUGUGUCCAAAUUCCCCUUUCUCAUAAGGACGUCAGUCAUGUUGGAUUAGGGCCCUCCCUCCUGACCUUGUUUUAGCUUAAUCUCUGCAACUUAACCCUUAACCUCAGUAAAGAUCCUAUUUCCAAAUGUGUUCACAUUCUGAGGUCCUGAGGAUUAGGACUUUGAAAGGAUUAAAACAGGCUCUUCUGGCAUAUUGACAAUUUCAGCUAAAGACUCUUGAGAAACAGCAGGUGCAAAAAGAUCACAGUGACCUCCAUGCUGUACCUUGAGAUGAAAUUCCAAUGCGAAAGAUGCCCUCUCCACCCUAGAAGGGAAGGCAACAUCCUUAUCUUUGGGAGUGAAAAGUCCAAACUGAGAGCAUACUGUGAGUACCUCAUUAGCAUCACUCCAUUCUCUGAGCUUCCCUGCAGACUUCAGUUGCUUCUUCACAGCUCUGCUCUUUGUCCCGUCCAAUCUCUGAGUAACUGACUCACUGCUUCUGCAGGUCUUCAUUUCUGCAGGAGGGCUCCCAUGCUACAUAAAUCCUGCAUUACACUUUUCUCCUGUUAGUCUAUGUUAUGUCCAUUUAAUUCUCAGGCCCAGCCGGGACCCUAAGAGGACAGAGGUGGAGUAUUUCCACCCCUACAACUUUACCCGAUCACAAUUCAAUCCUAACAGUGCCUUUCUCUGGAGGGGCUCUGCCAGCAUGAAUUCCUGUACGGGUGGAAGCCUCACAGUCCAGUCUACCAGUGAGGUCCACAUGGGAUUGGCUGGAGGGAGCUACGAAGUCAAGCGGCGUCAGGUACAGAGAAACAAAUCCCACAUCCAAAGGCCCGGAGGCGGUAGAGCAAACCACGCACAGCCGGGUGACUUAAGGGCAAGGAAGUCUUCCUGCAGGAGGUGAAUUUGGCACAAGGGAUACGUUUUUAGGCCCUGAGUGGACGAUCUGGGUUUCAAACUGGACUUUUGAAAAACACACUCUUAUUGUAGAAGGGCCUGUGAGUUUGUUUUAAUCACUUCUCAAAGCUACGCUAGGCAUUCACAGCUCAGGAUCCCCAGUUUAGCCUAAUAAAAAAAAGUAAUUACAUCAUAUUACAGAUAAUUUGAUUGUGUCUGAGACGAUAAUUGAGUUAAAACGCUUAUUGUAACAGACACAUCAGAUUGGCAAGGAGGAAGCUCGGCUUAAAUACAAACAGUGUUGAGAGUGGAAUUAAAGGAUUGCCAUUGCAGUU
rnacentral:lncRNA from 1 species